rnacentral:rRNA from 1 species
UACGAGGGGUGCAAGCGUUGCUCGGAAUUAUUGGGCGUAAAGGGUAGGUAGGUGGUCUUAUUUGUCUGGGGUGAAAUCCUUGAGCUUAACUCAAGAAGUGCCUUAGAAACGGUAAGACUAGAGUUCUAGAGGGGUUUGUGGAAUUCCCGGUGUAGCGGUGAAAUGCGUAGAUAUGACAUAGAACACCAAUUGCGAAGGCAGCUGGCUACACAAAUAUUGACACUGAGGCACGAAAGCGUGGGGAUCAAACAGG